rnacentral:antisense_RNA from 1 species
CUUGAUGGAGCCCAGCCACAGGGGCUGCUCCUCGGUGUGCGCCUGGCCGUAGGUGGCCAGCAGCGCCUGCGCUUC